rnacentral:SRP_RNA from 1 species
GCCAGGUGUAGUGGCGUGUGCCUGUAAUCCCAGCUACCUGGGAGGCUGAGGCAGGAGAAUCACUGGAACUCGGGAGGCAGAGGCUGCAGUGAGCCGAGAUUGUGCCACUGCACUCCAGCCUAGGUGACACAGUGAGAUUCUGUCUCAA